UACGAAGGGGGCUAGCGUUGUUCGGAAUCACUGGGCGUAAAGGGCGCGUAGGCGGCGCGACAAGUCAGGCGUGAAAGCCCCGGGCUCAACCCGGGGAAUUGCGCUUGAUACUGUCGUGCUUUGAGGCCGGGAGAGGAUGGCGGAAUUCCCAGUGUAGAGGUGAAAUUCGUAGAUAUUUGGGAAGAACACCGGUGGCGAAGGCGGCCAUCUGGACCGGUUCUGACGCUGAGGCGCGAAAGCGUGGGGAGCAAACAGG
rnacentral:rRNA from 1 species